AAAGGUGAAAAGCACCCCGGAAGGGGAGUGAAAUAGAACCUGAAACCGUGUGCCUACAACAAGUCAAAGCCCGUUAAUGGGUGAUGGCGUGCCUUUUGUAGAAUGAACCGGCGAGUUACGAUUGCAUGCGAGGUUAAGUUGAAGAGACGGAGCCGCAGCGAAAGCGAGUCUGAAUAGGGCGUUUGAGUAUGUAGUCGUAGACCCGAAACCAUGUGAUCUACCCAUGUCCAGGUUGAAGGUGCGGUAAAACGCACUGGAGGACCGAACCCACGUACGUUGAAAAGUGCGGGGAUGAGGUGUGGGUAGCGGAGAAAUUCCAAACGAACUUGGAGAUAGCUGGUUCUCUCCGAAAUAGCUUUAGGGCUAGCCUCGGAAUUGAGAAUGAUGG
rnacentral:rRNA from 1 species